GCUAUAUGCGGGCCGGAGGCGGCGGUGAGAGGUAGGGUGCGAUGGUUAUGCGUAAUGACGUGGCGUAAAGCGUGCGCAGGUGGUUAUGUAAGACGGAGGUGAAAUCCCCGGGCUCAACCUGGGAACGGCCUUUGUGACUGCAUGGCUAGAGUGCGGCAGAGGGGGAUGGAAUUCCGCGUGUAGCAGUGAAAUGCGUAGAUAUGCGGAGGAACACCGAUGGCGAAGGCAAUCCCCUGGGCCUGCACUGACGCUCAUGCACGAAAGCGUGGGGAGCAAACAGGAUUAGAUACCCGGGUAGUC
rnacentral:rRNA from 1 species